UUUUUCCUAUAAAUGAUCUCUAAAAUGGCAAAUGGUUAUAUCCCGUUGUUUUCAGUUAGGUUCUUCCUGUUGCUGGGGCAGAAAUCUUUUGAUGGUUACUGAACAAUACAUGAUUGUUGAGCAUCUCUCUACAACUUGUUAGCACACCAUGUCAAAAUUUUUCUCACCAACUUUUCAGGCCCACAGUUGUCACAUUGUAUAGUUCUUGUGUUUUUAACCAGUUUUUUUUUAUCACCCUGUCCUCUCAUUAUAUUUACAUAUUUCUGUUACACAUAACCUGGGAUUAAUUUCAUUGAGUUUUAGAUGUCUACAUCCAGAGUGACAGAGCUAACCUCUCCUAGUUAUUGAAAAGCAAGCUCUGCAAUUGCAAUAAUCUGUUAUGAAUAAGACAGCUAUAGCUGAUCUGAUUUUAAUUCAGAGAAUGGAGUAGAUAACCUCUGUAAUUUCUCUCUGCUUUCAUCCACUGUAAUUCAAUACCAGUGCAAGAUGAUCAAACUUGUCAGAUUUUGAAUCUGAACAGCAACAGAAUUUGGGAUAGUGCAGGAGAAAAAAAUUAACACAAGUUUUCAGGUAAGGCAAGGUUCUAAUGGAUUAUUUUCUUAUUAAAGUACUUAAAUAUUGACUAGUGUAGGCAUCUAUCUCUCAGGAUAUGGUUCAGUGACUUUGUUUUAUAUAGUGGACAAUGAUAGGAAUUUACACUAAUACUAGUUGUAAGUGUAUUUGCAAAAGAUUGAACAAGUCCCUAACUUGUGCAGAUUCAUGUCUUAGGAAAAUUAUAGACAAAGAUUUAUUGUAAACAAUGAUAAACUGAUGUUGGAUGCAUGAUUUUUUACAAGUCUAUGAUCAGUUCUAUCUAAACUAGACUAUUCUCCUGUGCAGAAUAAUAUACUAUGUCAUUAAAACUGGUUUAUGUACUCAAAUAGAAAGUGGCCUUUUACAAAUAAAUAAUUUGUAAUUCAUUGCUGCUGCCCAAAAUUAAAAUUAAAAAGCAUUGCCCAGAGACUUGAGCAUAAAAAAAACUUCAUAUAAGUAAUUGUGCUGGUCUUCCUUUUUUUCUCCCCUUUUAUGAUUUCAAUUUGGUAUAAACUUGCCUUCUGCCUUGUUAUCUACAUCUGUGGUUUUGCUUUCAGGUGUGAUCCACUGAGCUCUGGAAAGCUUAAUUAUUCUACAAGUGGACAAUGCCGGUCUUCUCCAAGCAACUGCAGACUCAGCCGUUAUCACUCACCAGAGGUUGAAUUGAGGUUGCCUGAGGAUGGAAUCACAAUCUGACCCAAAGGCUUUUUUGGUUAUGGAAAACAUGUUUUAUGAAGUGAAAGCUUUGUGAAAAUAACUUAUUCUGCCCAGAUAGAAUGUUAAGGGUCAUUUCCCGUUGCUCUGACAGG